CGUGCCUGGCACAGAGGGAUGUAAACAGCUAACAGCUAAGCAGCUAGCAUGCCCGUUCACCAGUCAGCGUCGGCUCAGACCACACACCUACGCCCGGUGCCGGAUUGAACUUCCCAAAAACAGCCGAGCUCAUGUCUGAGUACUGCUGCUAAAAUCAAGGUCUGACAGGAAGAGUGACGCUCUGCUUCCUAUCUGCAGUAAAGAGAAGAAGAAGAAAACAGAAGAAGAAGA